CAAUAGCGUAUAUUAAAGUUGUUGCAGUUAAAAAGCUCGUAGUUGGAUUUGUGGCGUACGGUGUGUUCCGGGCACUUGUUGUCUGAGUAACCUGCUGUUGCCAUCCUUGGGUGGAACCUGUGUGGCAUUAGGUUGUCGUGCAGGGGAUGCCCAUCAUUUACUGUGAAAAAAUUAGAGUGUUCAAAGCAGGCUUAUGCCGUUGAAUAUAUUAGCAUGGAAUAAUGAGAUAGGACUUUUUUGCUAUUUUGUUGGUUUGCGCAAGAAGGUAAUGAUUAAUAGGGACAGUUGGGGGUAUUCGUAUUCCAUUGCCAGAGGUGAAAUUCUUGGAUUUUUGGAAGACGAACUACUGCGAAAGCAUUUACCAAGGAUGUUUUCAUUAA
rnacentral:rRNA from 1 species